rnacentral:rRNA from 1 species
CCUGAUCCAGCCAUGCCGCGUGAGUGAAGAAGGCCUUCGGGUUGUAAAGCUCUUUUGUCCGGAAAGAAAAGCUUCCGAUUAAUACUCGGGAGUCAUGACGGUACCGGAAGAAUAAGCACCGGCUAACUUCGUGCCAGCAGCCGCGGUAAUACGAAGGGUGCAAGCGUUACUCGGAAUUACUGGGCGUAAAGCGUGCGUAGGUGGUUCGUUAAGUCUGAUGUGAAAGCCCUGGGCUCAACCUGGGAAUGGCAUUGGAUACUGGCGGACUGGAGUGCGGUAGAGGAUGGUGGAAUUCCCGGUGUAGCAGUGAAAUGCGUAGAGAUCGGGAGGAACAUCUGUGGCGAAGGCGACCAUCUGGACCAGCACUGACACUGAGGCACGAAAGCGUGGGGAGCAAACAGGAUUAGAUACCCUGGUAGUCCACGCCCUAAACGAUGCGAACUGGAUGUUGGGAGCAACUAGGCUCUCAGUAUCGAAGCUAACGCGUUAAGUUCGCCGCCUGGGGAGUACGGUCGCAAGACUGAAACUCAAAG